CAGGCCUAACACAUGCAAGUCGAGGGGUAACAGAGAAGCUUGCUUCUGCUGACGACCGGCGCACGGGUGCGUAACGCGUAUGCAACCUACCUCAUACUGGAGCAUAGCCCUUGGAAACGAGGAUUAAUACUCCAUGGUAUCAUUCUUUCGCAUGUUAGAAUGAUUAAAGAAUUUCGGUAUGAGAUGGGCAUGCGUCCCAUUAGCUAGUUGGUGAGGUAACGGCUCACCAAGGCAACGAUGGGUAGGGGGCCUGAGAGGGUGGUCCCCCACACUGGUACUGAGACACGGACCAGACUCCUACGGGAGGCAGCAGUGAGGAAUAUUGGUCAAUGGAGGCAACUCUGAACCAGCCAUGCCGCGUGAAGGAUGACGGCCCUAUGGGUUGUAAACUUCUUUUAUAUGGGAAGAGACUUAUCUACGUGUAGAUAACUGACGGUACCAUACGAAUAAGGAUCGGCUAACUCCGUGCCAGCAGCCGCGGUAAUACGGAGGAUCCAAGCGUUAUCCGGAUUCAUUGGGUUUAAAGGGUCCGUAGGCGGAUUUUUAAGUCAGUGGUGAAAGCCGACAGCUCAACUGUCGAACUGCCAUUGAUACUGGAAAUCUUGAGUACAAAUGAAGUAGGCGGAAUGAGUCAUGUAGCGGUGAAAUG
rnacentral:rRNA from 1 species